CGCAGAGCGUGUCCGGAGAACCCCUAUAUUGGGGAACCCCGACACCACGCCCCAUGGGGCCUCACCCCUGAAGUCCUGCCCCUCGCAGCUUCCAUAGGAGAUCCCCUUUGGACCACCCUUGGCCCCCAGCCCUCACCUCCUGCAGCACCAGCAGAGCCACACCUGUGGUAAGAGGCCCCCUGAGUGCAGGGUAGGAUGGAGAAGGUGCAAACCAUUCUGACACCAGCAACCAUCACCUUGUGCCUGAACAGCUGGGCUGCUUGCCCCAGCACCUCUAAGAGCUGGGCCACGAACCAACAGUCAUUACCUGUGCCUGGAAAAAUCAUCUCCCACAGAGCACCAGGGAACUGGCUCCUCCCAGCCUAGGUAGGCACCUAACACAUCUGCCUCCACCUGAUCCCCACAGCUGCCCAACUCAACCAGAUGUGCACGGCAGGACCAGCCCAGAGCCCUUCAGCCCCCACAGAAACACAGCCCACUCUUAGACA